rnacentral:lncRNA from 1 species
UCGCCCAGACUGGAGCGUAACUGAAAGCUCCACCUCCCAGGUUCACGCCAUUCUCCUGCCUCAACCUCCUGAGUAGCUGGGACUACUGGCGCCGGGCUAAUUUAUUUUUAUUUUUUAUUUUUAGUAGCGACGAGGUUUCACCAUGUUAGCCAGGACGGUCUCGAUCUCCUGAUCUCGUGAUCCGCCUGCCUCGGCCUCCCAAAGUGUUGGGAUUACAGGCAUGAGCCACCGCGCCCGGCCAACCAGCAUGUUCUUUAGGAGUGCAUAUUUAGGUGGCAAAACUCUAAAGCAAAACAACAGUUGAUUAUUAUCCAAGCCGGGAUAGCUGUUACCUCUAGGAAAGUUGUUUGUAGUAAGAGAACUCCCAUUUUCAUCAGUGGAACUGGACAACUACACUGGUCCAAUUCAGGCAAAUGGAUAGAGUUCACAGCACCAAACCAGCAGCCACAGGAAAUUAAUAUAACUGCGAAGGAAAAGAUUUCCCCUGCUCGAGUCUCCCUGCACUCCUACCCAUCUGAGAGAAACAGAACUGUUGAGUAGCUGAUGCAAUUUCAUCCAUAAUAUUGUGGAUUCACCAUUGAUUCAGCAUCUGAUCCUCAGCACUGUAUAUCUAAGAACUCAUUCUCCUUGGUUCAUCAGGCAUGAUCAGAUUAAGGAUUCAUACACACUGACCUAACUCACAGGAGAGAGUUAUAAAUCAGAACACCAAUUUAUUGCCUUGUUCAUGGAAAUAGAAACACUACAUGUGUCAGCUUACUCAGAUCAGCAGCUAAACACUGUUCAGUGUUGAUUGGGAAAUAUAAAGCCAGAAUGAAGGCAGCUGGUUCAUCUUGAUAGCAAAUGUUACCAAAUCUCAUAGUCUGGUGCCCUAAUCUCCAUGGGAUUAGAACAUGUACAUCGACCAGAGAGGUUCUCUUUCUCCUGACUAUGCUGGGACAUUCUGGCAAAUUCUGACUCAUCACUCCCUUUCUAGAAUCCUUAAAGACCAUCAUCACGCUAUUUCAAGAAUAUUCCUUCAGAUGUGUUACAAAGAUUAAAUGUUGAUUUAUGGUAUCUCUAAAGAUUUGGAUUGUAGUCUCAUCAGAAAUAUUUAUUUAUAAGCCAUCUCUUCAUUCACUCGUUGAUUCAUCCAGAAAUGCUAUUCAGUAUUUAUUAAGUGCCAGGCGUUGUGCUAAGAUUUGAGACACAGAGAUAAGAUAAAGGUCCCAUUCUCCAAGACUCUUGUUUUUUUAGUGGAUUAAAAGCUGCUAAUGUAUUCCUUCUGUAGAUAUACAUAAUUUCACCAAUUUCUUGUGACUUCAUGAACCUUAUUUUUGCAAGACAACAUGUCCUAAUUCUUGUCAAAUUUAGGGAUGGUGGUAUUGGGGAGCUACAAACCAGUCAAAUCAAUUCAAUGAAAAAUCCUAUUAUUUGAACAAUUUUAAUCACAUCUGAUUUUGACUAUUUUAUCUAAGUGUUAACAUUUCACUAGUUGAGUGUUACAAUGAGCCUAGCAUUUAAACAGUCUUAGUUAUGUUAACAUUCUUAAAAACAGAGAAGUGGCAGCCAGGCACGGUGGCUCAUGCCUGUAAUCCCAGCACUUUGGGAGGCCGAGGCGGGCGGACGCCUGAGGUCAGGAGUUCAAGACCAGCCUGACCAACACGGAGAAACCUCGUCUCUACUAAAAAUACAAAAUUA